rnacentral:rRNA from 1 species
UGAGGAAUCUUCCGCAAUGAGUGAAAGCUUGACGGAGCAAUGCCGCGUGGAGGAUGAAGGCCUUAGGGUUGUAAUCUCCUUUUCUCACAGAAGAAUUUUUGACGGUAUUUGAGGAAUAAGCAUCGGCUAACUUCGUGCCAGCAGCCGCGGUAAUACGAGGGAUGCAAGCGUUAUCCGGAAUUAUUGGGCGUAAAGCGUUUGUAGGCGGGCGAGUGUGUUUAAUGUUAAAUCUUAAAGCUCAACUUUGAAAUUGCGUUAAAAACUGCUUGUCUUGAGUAUGGUAGGGGUAAAGGGAAUUCCCAGUGUAGCGGUGAAAUGCGUAGAUAUUGGGAAGAACACUAAACAGCGAAGGCACUUUACUAGGCUAAUACUGACGCUGAGAAACGAAAGGUAAGGUAGCGAAACGG